rnacentral:rRNA from 1 species
UACGUAGGGAGCAAGCGUUGUCCGGAAUCAUUGGGCGUAAAGCGCGCGUAGGUGGCCCCAUAAGUCCGCUGUGAAAGUCAAAGGCUCAACCUUUGAAAGCCGGUGGAUACUGUGGGACUAGAGUACGGAAGAGGCGAGUGGAAUUCCUGGUGUAGCGGUGGAAUGCGCAGAUAUCAGGAGGAACACCAAUAGCGAAGGCAGCUCGCUGGGACGUUACUGACACUGAGGCGCGAAAGCGUGGGGAGCGAACGGG